UACGGAGGGUGCAAGCGUUAUCCGGAUUCACUGGGUUUAAAGGGAGCGUAGGUGGGUUGGUAAGUCCGUGGUGAAAUCUCCGAGCUUAACUUGGAAACUGCCAUGGAUACUAUCAGUCUUGAAUAUUGUGGAGGUCAGCGGAAUAUGUCAUGUAGCGGUGAAAUGCUUAGAUAUGACAUAGAACACCAAUUGCGAAGGCAGCUGGCUACGCAUAUAUUGACACUGAGGCCCGAAAGCGUGGGGAUCAAACAGG
rnacentral:rRNA from 1 species